GCAAAAUGGAGAACUCCAGGCAAGACACUUCUUUUAGUUAAGAAAACUAGCUAGAGCCAAUUCAGCCUAAUGCUAUUUCAACAUCUACUUUAUGUAAAGAUUUGCCAGUGGAUUUCUGUAAUGGUGGACAGGGAGUAAGAUCCCUAGAUAGGAGCAUGCUGACAGACCAGGAAGAAAGUGGUUGUUGAGGUAUAACAGUCAAUGCUUAUGAACUGAGUAUUGUGUGUGAAUUGCCUAUUUCUAUCAUUGGCACUAACAAAAGGGUUGGAUCUCAACAACAUGAGCAGUAAAUGCUAGCAAAGCUUUGGUGAUAAAAGGUGAACGCCGGAAGUAGCGCACCAUAGAUGUUAGCUGGGACGUUGCGUGUCUGCAGAGCUGGAGCUGAUGUGACUGAGGUAGAAAGCUUGCUGUUGCUGGAGCAGGCCGCGACCAGUGUUGAAAUGGAGAAAGGAGGCCUUGAUGGGAAUUGGGAGGGUGAAUGCUGUGUUACGUGCUACACACUCAUUAAUGGCAGUGUGAUCCGUGUGACCUGACAGGAGUACGAACUAUGAAUCAACAAGCCACUAUGGACCAGAUUGACGGCUGCUGGUGAGCGAGAGGAAUGGAGAGGAGGCAUUUUGGGAAAUUGGGAGGGUGAACAACACACCAUUCCCAAAGCUAAGUACUGCUGUCACGUGUCCUCCCUCUCCGGCCUCUAGGUCACCUGGCUGCUCAUUAAGGUCAACACCUGUCACCAUCGGUACGGGCAUUAGUGCAAUAUGACACUCGCCUGGACUCCAUCACAUCCUUGAUUACCUGCCCUAUAUAUGUCACUCCCCUUGGUUCCUUCCCCAGCCGUCAUUGUUUCUUUUUCAUGUCUGUGCGUUGUUUCUUGUUUUGGAUUAUGUUGCAUUUUUUCAUUAAAAAAAACACUCACUC